AUUGGAUUGAUCGAACUCCCGAACUGCAGAGUAGACAGAUAGGACAGGUUAAUUUCACAUUGCCUUUUAUUGCUCCAGCUUCAACAGGCAUCAUAGUAAAUACAGGUUAAUCCCGCAUUGCCUUCCACCGCUCCACCGACAGCAGGCAUUCACAUCAAUAUUAUUAUAUACUACACAUACUUUUAACAUGAAUAUAUAUUUAGAUGUACAUUAUAAAACUAAGUGAAUAACCGAUAAGUUGAUGAUUGUAUUUCA